UACAGAGGGGGCAAGCGUUGUUCGGAAUUACUGGGCGUAAAGGGCGCGUAGGCGGCCGACUAAGUCAGGCGUGAAAUCCCUCGGCUCAACCGGGGAACUGCGUCUGAUACUGGUGGGCUUGAGUUCGGGAGAGGAAUGUGGAAUUCCAGGUGUAGCGGUGAAAUGCGUAGAUAUCUGGAGGAACACCGGUGGCGAAGGCGGCAUUCUGGACCGACACUGCCGCUGAGGCGCGAAAGCCAGGGGAGCAAACGGG
rnacentral:rRNA from 1 species